rnacentral:rRNA from 1 species
AGUGAGCGCUGGCGGUAGGCCUAACACAUGCAAGUCGAACGGCAGCACAGUAAGAGCUUGCUCCUACGGGUGGCGAGUGGCGGACGGGUGAGGAAUACAUCGGAAUCUACUUUUUCGUGGGGGAUAACGUAGGGAAACUUACGCUAAUACCGCAUACGACCUACGGGUGAAAGCAGGGGAUCUUCGGACCUUGCGCGAUUGAAUGAGCCGAUGUCGGAUUAGCUAGUUGGCGGGGUAAAGGCCCACCAAGGCGACGAUCCGUAGCUGGUCUGAGAGGAUGAUCAGCCACACUGGAACUGAGACACGGUCCAGACUCCUACGGGAGGCAGCAGUGGGGAAUAUUGGACAAUGGGCGUAAGCCUGAUCCAGCCAUACCGCGUGGGUGAAGAAGGCCUUCGGGUUGUAAAGCCCUUUUGUUGGGAAAGAAAAGCAGCAGGUUAAUACCCCGCUGUUCUGACGGUACCCAAAGAAUAAGCACCGGCUAACUUUGUG